rnacentral:rRNA from 1 species
GGUAUGUACUAGCCUGCCGAUUCCUCCUUCUUGUAGAACCGUAAUGCCAUUAAUUUGGUGUUGCGGGGAAACAGGACUGUUACUUUGAAAAAAUUAGAGUGUUUAAAGCAGGCUAGCGCCUGAAUACAUUAGCAUGGAAUAAUGAAAUAGGACGUUCGAACCUAUUUUGUUGGUUUCUAGGAUUGACGUAAUGAUUAAUAGGGAUAGUUGGGGACAUUAGUAUUCAAUUGUCAGAGGUGAAAUUCUUGGAUUUAUUGAAGACUGACUACUGCGGAAGCAUUUGCCAAGGAUGUUUUCAUUAAUCAAGAACGAAAGUUAGGGGAUCGAAGACGAUCAGAUACCGUCGUAGUCUUAACCAUAAACUAUGCCGACUAGGGAUCGGAUGAUGUUAAUUUUUUAAUGACUCAUUCGGCGCCUUACG